rnacentral:rRNA from 1 species
UAGUCCACGCCGUAAACGAUGCUAACUCGUUUUUGGGCUUUCGGGUUCAGAGACUAAGCGAAAGUGAUAAGUUAGCCACCUGGGGAGUACGUUCGCAAGAAUGAAACUCAAAGGAAUUGACGGGGGCCCGCACAAGCGGUGGAUUAUGUGGUUUAAUUCGAUGAUACGCGAGGAACCUUACCAAGGCUUAAAUGGGAAAUGACAGGUUUAGAAAUAGACUUUUCUUCGGACAUUUUUCAAGGUGCUGCAUGGUUGUCGUCAGCUCGUGCCGUGAGGUGUUAGGUUAAGUCCUGCAACGAGCGCAACCCCUGUCACUAGUUGUCAUCAUUAAGUUGGGGACUCUAGUGAGACUGCCUACGCAAGUAGAGAGGAAGGUGGGGAUGACGUCAAAUCAUCACGGCCCUUACGCCUUGGGCCACACACGUAAUACAAUGGCCGGUACAGAGGGCAGCUACACUGCGAAGUGAUGCAAAUCUCGAAAGCCGGUCUCAGUUCGGAUUGGAGUCUGCAACUCGACUCUAUGAAGCUGGAAUCGCUAGUAAUCGCGCAUCAGUCAUGGCGCGGUGAAUACGUUCCCGGGCCUUGUACACACCGCCCGUCAAGCCAUGGAAGUCUGGGGUACCUGAAGUCGGUGACCGUAACAGGAGCUGCCUAGGGUAAAACAGGUAACUAGGGCU